UCAUCUUUUCUCACGCUCAGACUCGACCUCUCUUGAUACCAGAAUCAUAAAGUUAGCUGUGGGUUGCUCUUUUAUCUUUAUCGGCCUUGUUGUGGCUUUUUCUGCUGCAUACUGGCACUACAAGAAACAGCACAGAGGUUUUACCUCUCUUGCCCUCCAUUGAGAGCUGAAAUGAUGUUAAGGGUUUAACCAUUGAACAUCCACUCUGCUUUUGCGUGUGUGUGUGUGUAUGUAAAUCUUUUAUUUCCUCCUGUUGUUGUAUUAUUGCUCAUUUUAAUAAAGACUUAAUGGCUUAA